UACGUAGGGUGCGAGCGUUGUCCGGAAUUAUUGGGCGUAAAGAGCUUGUAGGCGGUCUGUUAUGUCAGAUGUGAAAGCCCUCGGCUUAACUGAGGAAGUGCACCUGAAACUGGCAGGCUUGAGUACGAAAGAGGGUCGCGGAAUUCCCGGUGUAGAGGUGAAAUUCGUAGAUAUCGGGAGGAACACCGGUGGCGAAGGCGGCGAUCUGGGUAGAUACUGACGCUGAGGUGCGAAAGCGUGGGGAGCAAACAGG
rnacentral:rRNA from 1 species